rnacentral:lncRNA from 1 species
AAGAAUAGAGUGAUGGUCAUCAGAAUUAGCUGAGGCAGAAGAGGAGGCAAAAUGGUAAUCUGGAAGGUUGGUUUAUGGCAAAUUCAUUAGGCACUCCUUGGGAAAUCUCAACUGUGUGGUAGAAUUUGAAGAAAACUGUUUUUGCUAAUAGAAAGUCAGUAAAAUCCAGUAAAAUGCUGGUUUUGUGACUGCCUCCCCUCCCCCAUCCCCCUGCAGACUGGUGUGAUCAGAGAAAAAUAGGCCGCGUUUGCUCAAAUGGUUACUAAAUAACUCUUGUUUUCAAGGAUAGCUUUAAAGAAAAAAAGAAUGUACAAAAUGCCACUUGAGAGAUGUGUAAUUUGAAAAGAAAAAGAAUGGUUGUUCUUUUUUGAUUUGCUGUUGUUGGGGUAAUUUCAGACUAUUUUAAAAUAUUCACUGGUAAAGUCUCUUUCAUGUGCGUCUGUGUGAAGAGACCACCAAACAGGCUUUGUGUGAGCAACAUGGCUGUUUAUUUCACCUGGGUGCAGGUGGGCUGAGGCCGAAGAGAGUCAGCAAAGGGAGACAAGGGUGGGGCCAUUUUAUAGGAUUUGGGUAAGUAAAGGAAAAUUACAGUCAAAGGGGGUUUGUUCUCUGGCAGGUAGGAGUGGGGGUCGCAAGGUGCUCAGUGGGCAGGAGUGGGGGGGUCACAAGGUGCUCAGUGGGGGUGCUUUUUGAGCCAGGAUGAGCCAGGAAAAGGACUUUCACAAGGUAAUGUCAUCAGUUAAGGCAAGGACCGGCCAUUUACACUUCUUUUGUGGUGGAAUGUCAUCAGUUAAGGUGGGGCAGGGCAUAUUCACUUCUUUUGUGAUUCUUUAGUUACUUCAGGCCCUCUGGGCGUAUAUGUGCAGGUCACAGGGGAUGUGAUGGCUUGGCUUGGGCUCAGAGGCCUGACAUUCCUGCCUUCUUAAUAAGAAAAAUAAAACAAAAUAGUGUUGAAGUGUUGGGGCGGCGAAAAUUUUUGGGGGGUGGUAUGGAGAGAGAGUGGACGAUGUUCCUCAGGCCUGCUUCAAGAGGGAUUAGGGGCGGCGUGGGAACCUAGAGUGGGAGAGAUUAAGCUGAAAGGAGAUCUUGUGGUAAGGGGUGAUAUUGUGGGGUUGUUAGAAGAAACAUUUGUUGUAUAGAAUGAUUGGUGAUGGCCUGGAUAUGGUUUUGUAUGAACUGAAAAACUAAAUGGAAUAAGAAGGAGAAAAACAGGUAUAAAAGGUCUAAGAAUUGGGAGGACCUAGGACAUCUGAUUAGAGAGUGCCUAAGGAGAUUCAGCAUAGUCCUGCCAGCAAAGAUUAUUUAUUUACUUCAAGAGUUAAGAGUGGCGGUUUGGGGAUAGCACGAGGAGAUAUCAGCUGUGAUGGCUUGGAUAAACAGUGUAAACUGGCAGUGUAAAGAAGAGCAGGGCAUGUAUGAGUAGUUGAGAAUGGAGAAUAGGAGUAUGACUAGACAGAAAACAGUAGGGAUGACAAGCUUUUAUUGGGGCACAGUCUAAGUUGGUCCGGUGUCUGGAAUGAGACUGGGGCCUAAUAAAAAGGAGCAUCUAUACAGGAGCUUAAAUGGGCUGUACCUUGUAGCAUUCCGAGGACAGGCCUGAAUUCUGAGAAGGGAAAGUGAUAAAAGUAUUGUCCAGUCCUUUUUGAUGGCUGAGCUUGGUGAGGUGUGUUUUUAAAAGACCUUCAGUCCAUUCUACCUUUCUUGAAGAUGGAGGACUGUAAGGGAUAUAAAGGUUUCACUGAAUACUAAGAGCCUGAAAAACUGCUUGGCUGAUUUGACUAAUAAAGGCUCAUCUGUUAUCAGACUGUAUUGAGGUGGGAAGGCUAAACUGAGGAAUUAUGUCUGACAGAAUGGAAGAAAUGACUGCGGAGGCCUUCUCAGACCCUGUAGGAAAGGCCUUUACUUAUUCAGUGAAAGUGUCUAUUUAGACUAAGAGGUAUUUUAGUUUCCUGACUCAGGCAUGUUGAGUAAAGCUAGUUUGCCAGUCCUGGGUGGGGGCAAAUCCUCGAGCUUGAUGUGUAGGGAAGGGAGGGGGCCUGAAUAAUCCCUGAGGAGUAGUAGAAUAGCAGAUGGAACACUGAGAAGUUAUUUCCUUGAGGAUAGAUUUCCACGAUGGAAAGGAAAUGAGAGGUUCUGAGAGGCGGGCUAGUGGCUUGUACUAUAGCAUAGCCUGCCUUUGCUGGUAUGUGGCGACUAGGCCUGGUGGAACUGCCAUCAAUAAAUCAAGCGUGAUCAGGGUGAGGAACAGGAAAGAAGGAAAUUUGGGGAAAUGGGGUUAAUGUCAGGUGGAUCAGAGAGAUACAGUCAUGGGGGUCAGGUGUGGUAUCAGGAAUAAUGUGGGAGGCCGGAUUCAAGUAUGGGCCAGGAACAAUGAUAAUUGUGGGAGACUCAACAGAGUGAGUAUAGCUGAAGGAGCUGGGAAGCAGAAAGUAUAUGCGUCAGGUAUGAGGAAGAAAAUAGAUUUUGGAAGUUAUGAGAACUGUAGAGAGUGAGUUGAGCAUAGUUUGUGAUUUUGAGGGCCUCUAAAAGUAUUAAUGCAGUGGCAGCUGCCGCACGCAGACAUACGGGCUAGGCUAAAACAGUAAGGUCAAGUUGUUUGGACAGAAGGCUACAGGGUGUGGUCCUGGCUCUUGUGUAAGAAUUCUGACCACCCUAACCAUGCCUAGGAAGGAAAGGAGUUGUUUUGUAGAGUUUGGGAGAUCAGUCAGACACGAUUGGCAGGGAGAGCACGUGUGUUUUUAUGAGAAUUAUGCCGAGAUAGGUAACAGUUGAGGAAGAAAUUUGGGCUUGAUUGAAGUAAUGGGGGCUGUCUGUGAAGCUUUGCGGCAGUACAGCCUAGGUAAUUUGCUGAGCUUGAUGGGUGUCAGGGUCAGUCCAAGUGAAAGCGAAGAGAGGCUGGGAUUAAGGGUGCAAAGGAAUAGUAAAUAAAGCAUGUUUGAGAUCUAGAACAGAAUAAUGGGUUGUAGAGGCAGGUAUUGAGGAUAGGAGAGUAUAUGGGUUUGGCACCAC